CGCGAUCGGGCACAUCCGUCACGUCGCCAUGACGCUCUGGUCCCACACAAAAACACUCUGAAACCCAAUGCUUCCAAACUCGUCUCCUUCGUCGGACCGAUGACGCCGCGUGGCGUCGCUUCGGCGGGCCGUGUAGUGUCCAAGCCUGGUUAUUAUAUUUAAGCCAACCACCGGUACCGAAAUCCUACAUGUUCACAUUUCCUCCCCUCACGUCCGUCACCUCUGCCACCACUUUCCACUCGCCGGCCGCUCGCCGGCCGCCACCACGCCAUUUGGUAAGGAGCUACCCAUAUCUAACGCCGGAGCGCCGACUGCAGCUCUUUGAGCAGAUCCGGGCAAGGCGCGAAGUCCGUAUCGCCGCGGGGCUACCUCCGGACGCGGUGGAUCCAGAGGAGGAGUUGGAAGAGGACGCAGAGCAGGACAAGGGCGAAGAGGACGUGGGGGACGCUGGGGACGCGGACCUGCGGGCGGAACAACAGGCAAUCCUCGAUUCCCUCCGGUCCGAGGCUGAGGCCAACCGUCGUCAUCUGCAGUAAGCAGAGGCGGAGUACGCCGCGGCCGUCGACCAGAUGCUCGCGUAUAUGGAUGAGAAGGAGGAGCUGGAGCCCUCCUACGCGCCCAUCUACCCGGUGCCCGGCACAAACUUUGUGGACAUCUUCGACGACGAAGUGUAGUUUAGGCUAGCGUGAUUUGCGUAGUACGUAGGAUUUAUUUUUGCAUAGUUUACCCGUGGGAUAAAAUAUGAGGUACUCAAAUGUGUAGCACCAAGUAUGAGGUCUGACAGUCAGUGCCCGCGGACGCGCCCGGUCGCGUCCUCGAGCGUUUGAGGUGCCGGAUUUGGUGUCUAAAAAGGAUUUUCGGUAUAGUUUUCCUUGUGACGGCCCAGGGCGCAGUGGUACUUGUGAUAUUUCUGCUUGGGACGCAUUUUAUUUGGCAGUUUUCUGGAUGUUAAAUACCAUUAGAUGAGUUACUUUUCAUUGGCAUUGGAAACAUAUCACAUUAUGGCAGGGCAACAUUUCACAAUUUAAUGAAUCCUCC
rnacentral:rRNA from 1 species